AUUUAAGCUUCAUAUAUAAAGUAUUUUCGCUUUUAUUAGAA
rnacentral:tRNA from 4 species